CUUGCUUGGAAAAAGGGUCGAGCCACUCAGCCUCCUUCAAUCCCACCAACAAACCUAUUCUUCUUUCUCUUUCACUUCAACCCUUCCUAAAUCAGUGUUCUGGUCGUGGUUCUCUCUCGUCGAGCCCUCCUUCCCCUUCUGUGGAGCCUCGGUUCUCUUUCGUUGUGCUUUCGUAGGUCGCGCAUUGAAACCCUAAUUUUCCCUCAUUCGAACCAUCAUUGUGCGGCCUUGGUACCAUGGUUAAUUGAUACUUUUCGUGCUUGCGUUUUGAUUUCCGCAAUGGCCUCCAAAGGUCCUAGAUCGAAGAUUGAUCAUGAGAGUAGAGGCAAACUGCAAAAG